ACACUCGAAAUGUAUAUAAGAAAUACUCAAGUUAAUAAAAAAGAAAGAAAUUUUAAUUUUCUUAAUCUUAGAGUAUAAGCCACUGGUUAUUAUUUCCCUGUGCCAAUGUGUUCAAGGCUUUUCCCCACUUUUUCUUUUAGUUUUAGUGUCUCUGCUUUUAUGUGGAGGUUCAAGAGCCACUUGGACUUGAUCUAUGUACAAGCUGAUAAGAAUGGAUCGAUUGGCAUUCUUCUACAUGCUGACCACCAGUUGAAAAAGCUCCAUUUGUGGAAAAAAUCUGUCUUUUCCUCUGAAUCCUUUUAGCUCCUUGGUCAAAGAUCAUUUGACCAUAGCUGUGUGGGUUCAUUUAUGGGUCUUCAAUUCUAUUCUACUGAUCUAUCUGCAAGUCUCUGUAUCAACCUCAUCCAGUGUUUAUCACUAUUUGUCUGUAAAUCACCUGGAUGUUAGGGAUAGUGAUUCUCCCAGAAGUUCUUUUAUUGUUGAGGGUAGUUUUGGGUAUACUGGAUUUGAAUAUGCCAAUGCUUUUUCUAACUCUAUGAAGAAUUGAGAUGGAAUUUUGAUGGGGAUUGCAUUGCAUAUGUGGAUUGGUUUUGUCAAUAUGGCCAUUUUCCCAUAUUAAUCCUGUCAAUCUAUGAGCAUGGGAGAUCUUUCCAUGUUCUGAGAUAUUCUUCGAUUUCUUCCUUCAGAGACAUGAAGUUCUUGUCGUACAGAUCUUUCACUUGCUUGGUUAGAGUCACCCCAAGGUAUAUUAUAUUAUUUGUGACUAUUGUGAAGGAUGUUGUUUCCCUAAUUUCGUUCUCAGUGUUCAUCUUUUGAGUAAAGUAAUGCUAUUGAUUUGUUGAGUUAAUUUAAUAUACAGCCACAUUGCUGAAGUUGUUUCUAAGCUGUAGGAGGUUUCUGGUGUAACUUUUGAGGUCCUUCAAGUAUAUUAUCUUAUCAUCUGCAAAUAGUGAUAUUUUGACUUUUUCCUUUCCAAAUUGUAUUUCUUUGACCUACUUCCCCACCCUACACCCUGACUGCUUUCUCUAGGACUUUGAGUAUUAUAUUGAAUAGAUAGGGAGAGAUUGGGCAGCCCUGUCUACUCCCUGAUUUUAGCGGAAUUGCCUCAAGUUUUCUUGAAUAUAGACUUUUAUAGUAGCGUCAGAUAAUUUUUUGAAUUUCCUCAGUUUCUAUUUUUAUGUCUCUCUUUUCAUUUGUGAUGUCGUUAAAUUGGAUACUCUUUCUGUGCCCUUCAGUUUGUCUGGCUAAGGCUUUAUCUAUCCUGUUGAUUUUGUCAAAGAACCAGCUCCUGGUUUUGUUGAUUCUUUGUGUUGAUUUUAAUUUCUAUUUAAUUGAUUUCAGUCCUGAUUAUGAUUAUUUCCUGCCAUCUACUCUUCUUGGGUGUAUUGCUCCCUUUUGUUCUAGAGCUUUAAGGUGUGUUGUUAAACUUUUACUGUAUGCUCUCUCCAGUUUCUUUUUGGAGACACUCAGAGGUAUGAGUUUUCAUCUCAACACUUCUUUCAUUGUGUCCCAUAGAUUUGGGUAUAUUGUUCUUCAUUAUCAUUAAAUUAAAGAAGUCUUUAAUUUCUUUAUUUUGUCCAUGAAUAAGUUAUCACUGAAUAGAGCGUUGUUCAGCUCCAUAUGUAUGUGGACUUUCUGUUGUUUUACUGUGUGUCUGAUUAAUUUCUGUUUCCAUGCUCUGUUUACUAAUAAGAGUGGGGUGGUAAAGUCAUGGUAAUAGAAAUGAAAUCAGUAUAAUUGUCCUUGACUGAUAUGGAUCCCAUCUAUUGUUCUGAGCACUUCUUAUGUCACACACACAAACACAGUUGAACACACACACUAUAUAGGAAAUUUAUAUACGUGUAUAUAUAAUAAAUAUGUGCAUGUGAUAAAUAAUGUAUAGUAUGCUGCUUGUAUAUGUCUGCUUGUAUAUGUAUUUGCAAAUGAGAGAUACAACUUUUUUUCCAUAAAAGUUCUUUAUGCCUUUUCUCUGUGACUCAGAAAUACCAUACAGACUUUUUAGCAUAAUCAGAUGCCACCCAUGCAUACUUACCUGACUUUGUGUUUGCUAUAAAAUGGAAAUGGGGGAAUGGCUGCAACAUUCAGCACUAAGGCAUAGUGAAAUUGCCUUACCUCUUUACUAUGUUAUUCUUGCUGAGAACCUCACAAAUGAUGUAUCUCAAAGACUAGGUUGUACACGUAUUUGAAAAAAAAACUGCUUGAAGAAAUGCCAGAGAUCAAUAUAGGAAAACGUCAUAUUUUGUUAUUUCAUGUGAUUACAUGAACCUGAGCUCUUGGCCAAUUUGUUCUUCAGAUUGUUGCUUAAAUUUCUCUUUCUUAAGCAGACAGUAUUACUAUUAAGAAAAUAACAAGAUACAGUAUGCAUAGAUGGGCAGUCUUGACUCUGUGGUGGUUUGCACUAGGGCAACCUAAGUUAACUGGAAAAUAAAAUGUUAUCCUGAGAAAAUAAAACAAUUGCUGCCAAGUAUCAGGGAGUUGGAGCAGGAAGGAUGGUAGCAACAGUCAUGGAAAAUGGGAAUCUUGAUAUGGAGUACUACUCACUAUGAAUCACGCAUAUUCAAAUCACUGGUCUGCUAUGUGUUACUAUAGAAACAUGGAAACAGAGGGAGUAGCAACAUCAUAGCUUUUCCCUUCAAUUACACCAGGUGAGAAGGAAAACUAAAUGUAUUUGAGUCAGACAUCAUCAGUGGAUGAAUAUACUUAAUACAGAAUAAAAAUAGUAUAAAAUCGUAUUUUUGUGUUUCAUACAAUUUUAAGGAUGUUUAGAGGCAAAGAAUUAAAGCAAGUUAAUUAAGUAAGUUUUCUGCUUGUUAGAAAACCAAAUGUGCUAAUAAAAUAUGAUUCAGAGUUGUAGGAAUAAAAUGACAACCUCUAUUUCCUGGCUUUCAGAUACCGUCAGAAAGGGGACACAGUAGGAUAAAAAGGAAAGAUGACUAUCGACCAGGUAUCAUGUGAUUAGAUGGAUAAUCUCAGAUACCGUCAGAAAGGGGACACAGUAGGAUAAAAAGGAAAGAUGACUAUCGACCAGGUAUCAUGUGAUUAGAUGGAUAAUCUCAGAUACCGUCAGAAAGGGGACACAGUAGGAUAAAAAGGAAAGAUGACUAUCGACCAGGUAUCAUGUGAUUAGAUGGAUAAUCUCAGGUAACCGUUAAGAACAGAUUCACUGAAAUCAAUCUUAAUUUAGGAUAAAGAGAAAAAUUCACUUUGUUGUUUAACUUUAAUUAAUUUAUUAAUUUUAUUUUUUCUAAUCAUACUAGGUAGGCUGAUACAUUUCAGCAGAUAUCCUUAAUCAUUCCACAAUGUUUGAAAAUAUUUUUCAUGGAAGAAACAUGUAAAAAGAAUAUUUAAAGAAAAUGUUUAGACAUAGGCACCUUGAUAUGGAGUACAGAGAAUUCCCUUUGCAUAGACUCAUUCCUCUCUGUUUCCGUUACUAUAGACAUCCUCAUCACCAUAGUAGCUGUUACAGUUGACUAACUUACAUUAAUAUAGCAUUAACCAAAAUCUACCUAAUAUUGGUAUAGCAUUAACCUGGGUCUAAUCCUGAUAAAGCAUUAACCAAAGUACUAACAUACAUUAGGGUUCACUUUGUUUUUGUGGCUUACAGUUUCUGAAAAUCUGUAAUAUGCUGUCAAUUAUAUUUACUCUACAGAAAUAGUUUAACUGACCUACAAACCCCGUUUACACAGCUUUCAUCCCCUUUCACCCUUAAGUUCUUUACUAAGACCCUAAGUCUUUCCUCAUUUUCUUUCUUUCCCAUCCACAAGGUUGUAUUGUUAGGAUAUAAGGGAGAAUGUAUUUGGGGCUUAAUGUUCCAGAGACCAUCGGUGGAGCAGAAGGCUUGCCCAGAAAGCCACACCUUAGAGCUCAUUAUAUUGGACAGCAAGCAAGAAACAGAGAGUGAAGUAGACACAACACUGGUUUUUUGAGAACUCAAAGCCCAUGCUCAACAAGGCCAUACCACCUAAUCUUUCAUCAACAGUUCCAACAACUGUUGGUCUAGUAUUCAGGCAUAUGAAUCUACUGAAUCUUGUAUAUUCAAAUUGUCACAGCGGUGAGGGUAAUUGGUCACUACCCACUCCAAACAUGCUUCUUCCCUGCAGUACUCAAAACAAAGAUGUGAUUGCUACAGAAUUGAAGCCUUAAAAAUCCAAGUUUUCACUCUCAGUUGGGAGCUCUAGGUACUCAUUAUGCUGUCAGAAAGUUAUCACAGGAAUAUGGCACCUGAAUGGUGACUGUUGUUGAUGCACUGAUGUGACAUGGUAAGACCUGGUUUACUUUCAGGAAGAUUUUGGAAAAGUUUAGAGGAGUCAGACAUGGCACACCUAUUAUCCCAGC